AUGAUCACGCGGACCUGCCCCUUUCACCUCCCAAGCACGGUCCCCGACGGGCCUACGAUGCCGGCGUCACUGCUCCGGGGGACCCAGUCCUGCGGGGCCAAACAAACCUGUUGCAUCUUUAAGUCUUUUAAGAGGCUCGGACACGAGCGUGGGGGAGCGGAGGGUGCCACGGAGGACGCUGUUCUGAAGCCGCCCAUUGGCCACCCGGGACCGUCGCCGUGGGCGCCCGCGGUGUCCUGCGGCCCGACCGGGUCCGCACGCGUCCGGCUUCUUAACCACCACCGGGCAGACUCGCGGCGCGGAGAGACGAGGCGCCCCGCCCGCCGCCACGGCCCCGCCCGGCCCCGCCCACAGCCCAGCCCACACCCCUCCCGCCGCCACGGCCCCGCCCGGCCCCGCCCACAACCCCUCCCGCCGUCACGGCCCCGCCCACGGCCCCGCCCACAACCCUCCCCGGCCCCGCCCAUCCCGGAGCAUCUCGGGGCUCCAGGUCUGAGCCCCCGUGAGGAGAGCAGGGAACGUCGUGCAGGUGUGACCCGGAUACAGGCUGCGAACCCCUGGGGUCACUAUCUGAGCACGGGGUGGGGUACGGGGUGCGGCCCCCUCAGCGCUGCCAGGAGCCGCCCGAUGCCCCCCACACGGCGGCCUGAGACUGCGCCCCGGCUCCGCCCCCCGCCCACGGCCCCGCCCACGGCCCCGCCCACGGCCCCGCCCACAACCCUCCCCGGCCCCGCCCACCGCACGCUGCCGCUCCGAGCCCCGCAUCGCAGAAACAGCCAGAAAAGGACAACAGGAUGCUUUGCACGGACCGAAGCGAAGGUGGAGCUUCGUCCCGCGGCCAGGCAGCCCCGACCCCGCGGGACAGCGCCCGCACACAGCUCCGCGCCCCGCGCCCGGGCUCCCGGCUCCAGGCCGGUCUGCGGAGGGGCCAGGAGAGGCCGCCAGAACCUGUCCUCCCACCUGACCGACGGACGCAGCCACCGGGUCGCUGAGGUUUCGAGGGAGCCGCGUCCGCACCCGCCCCGCCGCUUUCUCUUACGCCCGCCGCAUCCUAGCAACGGCCCUGCCGCCGGCGUAGGUCCCGCGAGAAGAGGCGGCGCUCCCGCGGGAAGAAGGGCUGUGGAGAGGGGCGGGGCCGGGGCCCAGGGGGCGGGGCCGGGGCCCGGAGGCGGAGCUGGGGCUAGGGGCGGGGCCAGGGCGGAGCUAGGGCGAGGGGCGGGGCCGACCUAG
rnacentral:lncRNA from 1 species